GCCGGUCUCCCCGCGGCGCGAAGUUGUGAAUCCCGUCAGGCCCGAAAGGGAGCAGCGGUAACAAUGGAUGCGGGCGCCGGGCCAAGAACGGUGCA
rnacentral:SRP_RNA from 1 species